GAUGAACGCUGGCGGCGUGCCUAACACAUGCAAGUCGAACGGGAACUCCGAGAUGAAGUUUCGAUGGAUUCUUGGAAAUUCUAGUGGCGGACGGGUGAGUAACGCGUGGGUAACCUGCCCUUAAGAGGGGAAUAACAGUGAGAAAUUACUGCUAAUACACCAUAUGCUUACAGUAUCGCAUGAUACAGUGAGGAAAUGAAAUUCGCUUAAGGAUGGACCCGCGUUUGAUUAGCCAGUUGGCAGGGUAACGGCCUACCAAAGCAACGAUCAAUAGCCGGCCUGAGAGGGUGAACGGCCACAUUGGAACUGAGACACGGUCCAAACUCC
rnacentral:rRNA from 1 species